rnacentral:ncRNA from 2 species
AUGAUGGCAAGGGGAGAGACUACAUUUGUAGCGCCGAAGGAGCAAGCAUUCAUUGUGAAUCUCUCAGGCAAAAGAACUCUUGUUUGACG